rnacentral:rRNA from 1 species
CAGCAGCCGCGGUAAUACGAGGGGUGCAAGCGUUAUUCGGAUUGAUUGGGUGUAAAGGGUGUGCAGACGGCUUAUUAAGUCACUUGUUAAAUUCUUCGGCCUAACUGAAGGUCGGCAAGUGAUACUGAUGAGCUAGAGGGUGGAAGAGAGAAGUGGAAUUCUCGGAGUAGCGGUAAAAUGCGUAGAUCUCGAGAGGAACACCAAUGGCGAAGGCAGCUUCUUGGUCCAUUCCUGACGUUCAUACACGAAAGCGUGGGGAGCAAACAGGAUUAGAUACCCCCGUAGUCCCUGUCUCUUAUAC